GGGGGGUUAGCUCAGCUGGGAGAGCGCCGCGUUCGCAACGCGGAGGCCGAGGGUUCGAAUCCCUUACCCUCCACCA
rnacentral:tRNA from 1 species